rnacentral:lncRNA from 1 species
AGAAGCCUUGCACUUACAAUGUUGAGUGCAAGGGUUCGAGCCUCCAUAAGAGUAUUAUGGAGGUUAGUUACAGUUCUUCCUCAAUUAUCAAUUAAUUGAGUGGAGACAGUCUCUCCCUCACGAAAUGUGAGUGGAGUAGGCACCCCUCGAAUUUUAGAGAGGGUUUAAAAUAUCUGGGCAUAUACUUCAGUGUGUCAAUGUAUGGUGGUGGUCCCAGUUAUAUAGUAUGAUUGUAAAUAUUAAUUGUAAUGUCUGAUGUAAUGUCAGUAAUAUCUGUG